GGUGGACCGCAUGUAUUACUGUUAUGGAAAACAUUCCAUUUCAACGGCUUUCCCUCCCCAUGUGCUACAUACUAAAUCAGUGCUACGGUUUACUUCCGCUUGGAGAAAAUGAAGAUAGCAGAGAAGGAAAAGAAAGUAAAAGUCAUAUAAAAGUGGGUCUGGAGUAAACAACAGACGAACUGAGCUAUUUUUGAAAGAACAUGACCACCUUCAAAAGUCCCUCCAGAUGUGGCCUAGGAAUCCUUUUAAACACAGUGCACCAGGCAGAAAUUAGUUGGAAUUACUUCAUAAGAUGCAGUUUAUUUGCUAUUCACCCUUGUAUUUCAGCUCCAUUAUUUGUCCUUGAUAUGCCUGUCUAUGAAAACACUCUCUCCUUCCCAGAGAUGGCAGCUAACAAGACCUAGCAAAGAGAAACGGGAAUUUUCAUUCACAAUUUCAUAGGGAAAGCAAUUGGUAAGAUUAUUUUACUGCCAAGGGUAAUAAAGUUAAUGAGAGAGUUGAAGAAAGAGGCACGAAUUCUGAAACUGUCUAGAACCAUCUAAGAGGUAAAGCUGAGGCGUUUUAUCCAUACUUGCAGGCUGUGAUUGUUUCAUAGAAGUACCCUCUGAUUUAUGGGCAUGUCAUUGAUCACAACUAGAAUUACAGAUUGGGCACAUUAAGCACAU